UGUACAUUAUACACGAUGAAAAAAUUAAAAUUAUAAAUAUAGUAUAGCGUAAAAUGAUAAUAGGUAGAACCAAAGCUGUAGCUAGAUUCUGUAGUCCAACGGAGAGUGGGUUAAAUGAAAUCAUCUGAUAUUUUUGUUACGAUGAUAAUUACCAUUUUUAUUGAUUAUUUUAAACAAUACUUAGAAAAAAAAAAAUCGGAGAAGAGAGGCGUAAAAGUAGAACUUAUAUCACGUACAAUGCGUAUUAAUCAACGAUACAACUUUACCAGAUGAUCGAUAGCUCAGUAAGUUAUAGGUGUUGGUUAGUUAGUAGAGUAGGAUUACUUUAUUGUUGGGGUACUUGGCUUGAUUCCCGACCAAGCAGUAAAAUAGAAUCUGGA